rnacentral:rRNA from 1 species
GAUGAACGCUGGCGGCGUGCCUAAUACAUGCAAGUCGAGCGAACAGACGAGGAGCUUGCUCCUCUGACGUUAGCGGCGGACGGGUGAGUAACACGUGGAUAACCUACCUAUAAGACUGGGAUAACUUCGGGAAACCGGAGCUAAUACCGGAUAAUAUAUUGAACCGCAUGGUUCAAUAGUGAAAGACGGUUUUGCUGUCACUUAUAGAUGGAUCCGCGCCGCAUUAGCUAGUUGGUAAGGUAACGGCUUACCAAGGCAACGAUGCGUAGCCGACCUGAGAGGGUGAUCGGCCACACUGGAACUGAGACACGGUCCAGACUCCUACGGGAGGCAGCAGUAGGGAAUCUUCCGCAAUGGGCGAAAGCUUGACGGAGCAACGCCGCGUGAGUGAUGAAGGUCUUCGGAUCGUAAAACUCUGUUAUUAGGGAAGAACAAAUGUGUAAGGAACUAUGCACGUCUUGACGGUACCUAAUGAGAAAGCCACGGCUAACUACGUG